UACAGAGGGUGCAAGCGUUGUUCGGAAUUACUGGGCGUAAAGCGCGUGUAGGCGGUCUCGCAAGUCGGGUGUGAAAGCCCAGGGCUCAACCCUGGAAGUGCAUUCGAUACUGCGAGGCUAGAGUCCCGGAGAGGAUGGUGGAACUCUCGGUGUAGAGGUGAAAUUCGUAGAUAUCGAGAAGAACACCGGUGGCGAAGGCGGCCAUCUGGACGGUGACUGACGCUGAGACGCGAAAGCGUGGGGAGCAAACAGG
rnacentral:rRNA from 1 species